GGAUAGCUUAAAGAAAGCCUGUACCUAUAGGCAUUUUUAAAGACAUUCAAAUUUAAUGCUUAGUGCCUUUGUCUAGGUAUUUUAUAAAGGGACAAUGUUUUUGAAGCUGUCAGGAACUGCUUGAUUAUAAGCCUCUUUCCUCGUGCCUUUUAGUUGUGAAGGCCGUUUGUGACCCCCCUUCUGAUGAUAGAAGGGUGAUUAAGUGUAGGCCAGACAUCUAACAUCAGGACAGAGAUCACCAGGCAGGAAAUGAGAGUAGAGUUAACUGCAUUCCUGUAUUUGGAGACUAUCACAUCAAACAAUUAUUAUUUCAAAUCAUAAUAAAUAGAAGACAUGGUCACCUUUGGGCACAUGUACUUUUAAUAAUUCUCUGAAUAGGUGAUCUCCAAAGUACCUUUAUGUCAUUCUCCUAAAGUAUUUUUGUGUGUGUUUUCAUGUGAGUUUGCACAAGCACAUGGUACAUUUUGUAAACAAAUAUAUUGGGCAUGUACUAAAAAUUCCAUUGAUAGGGGUGCCUGAUCAAAAAUACUUUCUCUAGAUCACUAAGGUAGAUGAGGGUUUGCUCUCUUAAUAACUUGUGAUUAUUAUGUUAAGUGAUACGGCUUCAAAUGAGAAACUGGUAGCACUUCAAAGAAGGUUAUCUUGUCUAAUUUUAGCUUCUUAAGUCCAUAUUUAUAAAAUUAAGACAUUUUUUACAGCCAACAGAAACCCCAAAUUAAGUGUUCUACCAAUUCAAAGUCUAUGUGCUCCUCUAUAUUAAACUAUAUACUGCUAUGUGCUGAGAUCCACAUUUUAUGUUUUUAGAAAUUUUCUUUUUAAAUGUUAGGGCUCUUGUAACAUUUCCUUUAUUUGCAUGCAUGGUUGUAAAAGAACUGAGUUCACGUAGUUGCACACCAGUGAUUACAUUAGCCUUAGCAUUUAUGGGUUAGCCAGAAGUCUCCUGUAUCUUUUCUCUCUGGUUCUGAGCAAUCUGUAAAUUUGUAGGAGGGAAAGAUGACUGCAAAUUGGACUUUAUUUGAUAAGAUUCUAUAAAUGGGCAUAAACCUAAAAUGGUAAGAUUUGACAAUGGCACUGUAAACAGGAUAGAUGUAUCUUCCAGUCCUGAUUUAUAACAGUUUUGUCCCCUCGAGUCCGUAGACUGAAUGGAAUUGUAUUUCCUAUAAAUUACACUGGUGAGCCUUCAAAUUACUGAUGUACGUUCUUCGUUGACCUCUCAACAACUGGGUGAGGUUGACAGGUAGGUAGGUCAGUAUUUUUUAAUCUUCGUGUUCUGUGGUUAGAAAGCUGAGGCUUAGGGAGUUUAAGUAAUUUGCCCCAAAGUCAAAUGGCUAGUAAACAGCUCAUUCAUAAUUUGAACUCGGGCCUUUUUGACCCCAGAACCUGAACUUUCAACUAUUGGUAUAUUGAGGUGUAUGAUUUAUUUACCGUGUUUCACAUUGUUGCAAUAUGCAGGUUUUCAUUUCUCAUUGCUGGUUAGCCAUCAUUUUCAGCCUUUGGAACCUCAUCGCUUUCCAUGCUCAGAAGGCAAAAAAAAAACUGUCUUAAAACCAGGCUUCUUUCUUCAGGAGGCAUUUGGGACUUAUUAUAAAGAAUACUAGUCAUGGACUCAGAGGAAUGGGUUGGAAUGCAGGCCUGUACCAGCUACUACUUUGUGACUUUGGGCAAUUUGAUUAGCCUCUCUGAGCCCAUCGCUCCGUAUGUAAAAUGGGAUAAAAAUAAGUCCGUUAUACAUGAAAACAUCCAGCAAAGAAUGGUUGGAUUUUGGGGAGUCGAAUACUUCAGUAUAGCAUGGAGGCAAAUUCAGCAGGUGGUUUUCUUGGUUUCGUGAAAAUUUGACGUCACUGUGAUCGGUGGGAGUUUCUUGAAAGUCCGCUUUGGCCAAUAGCUGUGAGAAAUGUACUUGUGAUUUUGAAAUGAUACGGGAAGAAAAAGGAAGUCCUUUUUAAAAGUGAAAAUACAGAUAACCCAGGUGUUGAGCGUAUUUAUUUCACAGACUUUGCUGAGCUGGGUCCUUAACAUUGUGCUUUUCAGAGCUAUUUUCCCAGUAGAGGACAGAAAAGGAGGACUCCUUCGGAUCUUUUGUCUGUUGAACACCUUCAAGUGAGAGAUGCCGCCACACUACCAAAUGUGUCUAGCCAGGCAGCCCCGCACAGUGCCUGCUUGAGGGCGUUAUCGUGUUUGAGUGUUGUACCUCCUCGCCUUAAGAAACAUAGAAGUGGGGAAACAGAUGUCACAGGACCACGCAGCAGGGAACCCCCAUAAUUCCAUCAGAGGAGGAAGCACCAAAUCAGGAGAUUUGCGUCCCGGCCGUGGUGGUGUUACCGUAUUGUAGAUAUCCUGGAGAGCUGGAUGGAGGUUAUCAGCCAUCUCCCCAGAAAAACGCUUAUAUGACUCAACGUUUUCAUAAAAUAUCAGGGGAUUUCAACAUAAACCUGUCUACCGUGCCAAGGUUAAGGACACCUCAUAAUAAUAAAUGGCAGAAAUGAUAUUGAACAAUUCUGAUAUAGGGGAGGGUGAAAGAAAGUAGCAGGUUAUAAAAGACUAAAAUAUUUUUUUUGUUUUAAAGAUUUUGUUUUGUUUUGUUUGGGAAGGACAAUGUGUUUCUUGACUCACUUAAGAUGCCUGGGUCUGAAAAUUAAACGGACGUAGACAGAUUAUCAGGAAAAAAAAGCACACCCGUUUAUCGAAUGUAAGUUUUACAUGGAGCGAGAGACUAUUCUGAAGGAAAUGAUGAUCCAAAGAGACCAUCAGACCUAAGUAUUUUAUGCUAAGUUUGACGAAGGGUGCACAGUAGUGGAGUCAUAGGAGAAGGUGAGGAGAACAAGGUAAGUGUAGUGACCUGGGGAAAACUUAGUGAGGCUUGCUUGUUCGGACUCUUCUUGGUGUCCCUUUGUCCCCCGAAAUAAGGAUGCACCUUUCUUCCGGGUGUAGGGAGGGUGCCUCUCACAUGAAGAUUUUAUGGCCUGUUUCAGGGGAAAAAAAAAAAGGGUAAAGGGGAAAAGGCCAGAGUGACCUUCUGCUUCUGCUGUUUUUCUCAAACUUCUUCAGCUUAAAAUAUUCAUGUUUUAGGGUAGCGUGUUCAGGUCCCCUUCAUAGAUAAUUGAACAUUAAGACGCUGAUAGCUUCUCCGGGGGAUGAUGUUAUUAUCUCCCUGUGCUUGUUUGUAUAUUCUAACUUUUCUUUUUCAAGUUUAUUUAUGUUGAGAGAGAAAAGGAGAGAGAGAAGGCGAGCGUGAGCAGA